GACGAACGCUGGCGGCGUGCCUAAUACAUGCAAGUUGAGCGCUGAAGGUUGGUACUUGUACCGACUGGAUGAGCAGCGAACGGGUGAGUAACGCGUGGGGAAUCUGCCUUUGAGCGGGGACAACAUUUGGAAACGAAUGCUAAUACCGCAUAAAAACUUUAAACACAAGUUUUAAGUUUGAAAGAUGCAAUUGCAUCACUCAAAGAUGAUCCCGCGUUGUAUUAGCUAGUUGGUGAGGUAAAGGCUCACCAAGGCGAUGAUACAUAGCCGACCUGAGAGGGUGAUCGGCCACAUUGGGACUGAGACACGGCCCAAACUCCUACGGGAGGCAGCAGUAGGGAAUCUUCGGCAAUGGACGAAAGUCUGACCGAGCAACGCCGCGUGAGUGAAGAAGGUUUUCGGAUCGUAAAACUCUGUUGGUAGAGAAGAACGUUGGUGAGAGCGGAAAGCUCAUCAAGUGACGGUAACUACCCAGAAAGGGACGGCUAACUACGUG
rnacentral:rRNA from 1 species